rnacentral:rRNA from 1 species
AUUGAACGCUGGCGGCAGGCCUAACACAUGCAAGUCGAGCGGAUGAGUGGAGCUUGCUCCAUGAUUCAGCGGCGGACGGGUGAGUAAUGCCUAGGAAUCUGCCUGGUAGUGGGGGACAACGUUUCGAAAGGAACGCUAAUACCGCAUACGUCCUACGGGAGAAAGUGGGGGAUCUUCGGACCUCACGCUAUCAGAUGAGCCUAGGUCGGAUUAGCUAGUUGGUGAGGUAAAGGCUCACCAAGGCGACGAUCCGUAACUGGUCUGAGAGGAUGAUCAGUCACACUGGAACUGAGACACGGUCCAGACUCCUACGGGAGGCAGCAGUGGGGAAUAUUGGACAAUGGGCGAAAGCCUGAUCCAGCCAUGCCGCGUGUGUGAAGAAGGUCUUCGGAUUGUAAAGCACUUUAAGUUGGGAGGAAGGGCAGUAAGUUAAUACCUUGCUGUUUUGACGUUACCAACAGAAUAAGCACCGGCUAACUUCGUGCCAGCCGCCGCGGUAAGAC